CGAAAUAUUCGCCCUUUUAUAAUACUCUAAAACUCGAGUCUUUACCCUACUAUAGGUAUUUGUGUACAGAGUAGAUGGAAAAUCGGAGAACACCAUUGAAUUCGCCAUAAAAAUCAGCAUCUUUUCAUAGUAAAUAUCUCUAGUCAAUUUAAUAAAGAAAACUUUUUAUCGCGUGUUUAAUUCCGAGCUGACAAUAGAAAUGAACUACGGAUGUAGCCAAGGGAUACAGGAGCACUUUAACGGAUAACCAUUUUACUGAUUCAUUAUUAUCAUAAGAUAACCACGGAUGUCCCCAGUUAAUAAUGAUUCAAGAUGGCGUCGGGCAAAUGCGCAUUCCUCAUUUCCUCGAUUUAGCCGCAUGUGUGGAACUUGCACAUGUAAUUGAUAUAUUUUAAUAUUAUUGCUUGCCUCAAGUAGAAAUUAAUGAAACUGUGGUUCACUCCGUGGUGGUGGUGGUCGAAAGUAAGUUUUUAAAAUCAAUUUUCAUCGUAAACAAGUUAGGGUCCUGGUUUCUUCACCUCUUGGUCCUGGAUACACUUUUAUCCAAUCUUAUAUGUUGUAAAUUCUGUUAUGCACAGCUUUUAUUGAGAUUUAAUAGUUUUAGCAUUGUCAUAUCAAACAAACAAAAAACAAAACAAAAACCAAAAAAAAUCCAAUGAAAGUUUGAAAUGUAAAUAGAGCUUAAUAAGAAGAUGUGUACUGUAUACUUUGAGACUAUGUCUUUGAUAUUCUGUAAUGUAUUGAUCAAUUUGAAACUUCAGCAUCCCCCCCCCCCCUUUGGGCAUAUCCCAGGAAUUUGACUUAAGUCUUUUCCAGGGAGUAGGGUCUGUAGGGAAUUUGACGUUCUAAAUCUUCCAUUUAGUGGGGCAUUUGAUAUUAAGGGUGGGGAAUUUGAACCGGAAGUCUUAAAAUUUUGCCCAUUUCUGUGUGCUUUCUGCAUGCACAAAAAAGCUUUGCAUUGGCGGCAAACACAGUUUUCUUGGAUUUCGAGGGAAAUUAUGAAAAACUGGCUCAAAGAAUCAGGCAUGUGAAAGCUAUGUGGUUCAUUUGAAAGUAUGUACUACAAAAUUGUGUGAAACUGUUAAAUUCCC